AGAGUCACCACUCCGUUGCCUGCUAAAACUAUUUAUCUAACAAUUCAGGACAACGUUCGUGAAUGGGUAAAGCAUAUUUAAUAAGUGGUAGCACUGAAGAUGGAUAAUUGUGAGAAUGUGAUUACACAAGAUUAUUGUGUUUCUUGCUUAACAUCACAGGUUUUGAAUGAAAAGCCUCUGUUGAAGGGAGAUAAAAUUGAAAUCAUAGAAGAAGUUGAAAAAGGAGGACAGGUUGUCGCCAUACAAGACAGAUGACCCAUUAUCCGUGACUGGCAAAAGAAAUUUUUGACAUGGAAGCUAACGUAUCCCAAAGCAGAGGAAUGCAUCAUCAACUGGAUGAGACAGAAACGAACAAAGACUGCUAGUAAGAGUUUGUGACACUGUUUGAGGACUAGAUGAUUAGUUGAUUUAACCCUUACAAUGCAUUCGGAUAGAUUUAUUCCUCAUAUUUCUUUAGUGUUUUUAAAAGUAAUAAUACCAUUAUGAUUAAAAGUAAUCAAAAACAUAUGAAGAAUAAUCUCAUAUACAAAUUAUUUUUUUCAUAUAUAACAAUAUCAAAAGUUGAAAGUUCUUAUAUAAUGAACUUUUUGUUUCCUUCUGUUCCAUUUUUAUGGUCACAAAAUUCAAGAAAAGAAGACCUGAACGCUAGAAGUUUUCAAAGACUUGCAAACAGGACAAACACCAGU